CCUACGGGAGGCAGCAGUGAGGAAUAUUGGUCAAUGGACGGAAGUCUGAACCAGCCAUGCCGCGUGCAGGAAGACGGCUCUAUGAGUUGUAAACUGCUUUUGUACAAGGGUAAAACUGAAUACGUGUAUUCAUCUGCAAGUACUGUACGAAUAAGGAUCGGCUAACUCCGUGCCAGCAGCCGCGGUAAUACGGAGGAUCCGAGCGUUAUCCGGAUUUAUUGGGUUUAAAGGGUGCGUAGGCGGAUUGUUAAGUUAGAUGUGAAAUGUCCGUGCUUAACUCUGGAACUGCAUUUAAUACUGGUGAUCUAGAGUGUAGAUGCGGUAGGCGGAAUGUGUGGUGUAGCGGUGAAAUGCUUAGAGAUCAUAAAGAACCCCGAUUGCGAAGGCAGCUUACCAAUCUGUGUCUGACGUUGAGGCACGAAAGCGUGGGGAGCAAACAGGAUUAGAUACCCUAGUAGUC
rnacentral:rRNA from 1 species